CCUUGCUGAACUACAGCUUCGAGAACCAAGCUUUCCUGAUGUUCAACAUGGUGUGCUCAUCCAUAAAGUCAUCCUGGACUCCCCUGCACACCGGGCUGGUCUGCGGCCAGGUGAUGUGAUCUUGGCCAUUGGGGAGAAGGUGGUACAAAAUGCUGAAGAUAUUUAUGAAGCUGUUCGAACCCAAUCCCAGCUGGCAGUGCGGAUCCGGCGGGGACCGGAAACAUUGACUUUAUAUGUGACCCCUGAAAUCACAGAAUGAAUGGAUUAACAAGAGAAUGGGGCUCCUGCUCUGAUUUCCACCUUGCUUUCCUGGCCUAGGCUCUGAGGGCACCUGGACAGAGGAUUAAAGGAGCCAGUGGGGGGCCGGUCCCUCCAACCACCAGCACCAAUCCCUGGGCUCUGAGGAAUCACAAAAACAUUUUUUAUAUAAAAUAAAAUUAUACCUAGCAAAAAAAAAAA